GACAGCGUGUCCGAGUGGUUAAGGAGGUGGACUUGAAAUCCGUUAGGCUCAGCCUGCGCAGGUUCGAAUCCUGCCGCUGUCG
rnacentral:tRNA from 1 species